rnacentral:lncRNA from 13 species
CUCGUGGGUGCCUGAGCACAUCAGAUGCAGCUCUGCCUAUAAGGACCAAAGACAGAGGAACCCCGAGGCCUGGCUACUGCCUAGGGCCACGGAGGGAAAAGGACCCUACGACAGGAGGAGGCCAGAAGUAACCUUGUGAUGAAUUGCUGACCAAGGGGAUGUAAGUAGACAUGGUAUGUGCAAGUUCCGGGAAGUGUUUGUAAAAAGAAAGAUUUUUCUGCUUCCUAUGAUGGCUGGAGCUUGAGUAGCCAUCUUAGACUGUGAAGUGGCAGAGAUAAGAGGGAAGAAGUCUGGAUCUCACAUGAAGAUGGAACUAUCAUAUCAACUUUGAAUUGGUUCCAUAGACUGUAUCUAUCUGUGUGAGAGGAAAAUACGUUUUUCUCUUGUUUAAGCCGCUACUAUCUUGAGCUGUUUGGUAAGCAGCCUUUAAGAUAGACCUCAAUGGUUCUGCCUCCUGGUAUUUAUACCCUUGUUUAGGCCCCUCCCAGAUUGUGCCAGGGUUGGCUUGUAUGACCAGUAGCAAGCAUAUGGCAGAAGUGAUGGCAUGUGACUUCUGAGAUUAGGUUAUACAAAGCUUGCCACUUCUGUCUUGGGUUUGCUUUCUCCCUCUCAUUGGUCACUGGUUCUGGGGAAGUUAUGUCAUGAGCAGCACUAUGAAGAGGCCCAUGAAGCAAGGGACUGAAGCCUCUUGCCAACAGCCGCGUCUGUGAGAUUGGAAGCGAGUCCUUUAGCUCUGGUGGAGUCUUCGGAGACCGCAGCCCCAGACAAUGGCUUGGCUGCAGCCUUCUGUGAAUAACUUGGAGCCAGAACCACCCAGCUAAACUCAUCACAUUCCUGCCCCUCAGAAGCUGAGUGAGAUGAUGAAAGUAGGCUGUGUCAGCUGUGGAGUUUUGGAACAGUUUUCUACCUAGAAAUACAGAACGAAUACAGGCUUCCUGUGACUACACAGGCAAAGCCCGUCGUGCCGAUACAACCUGGGAAAGGGCCAAUGGUGCUUCUGGACGGGUGAACAAAACCUCCUUUUCUGCUGGGUGUCCACCUGCCCGUCUCUCCCCAGCCAUAAGGAGAGAUUGCACUGUGUAAUACCAUCCCUGCGGGACCUGGGAACCCAGGCCUUCCUGGGAGGCUGGCUUCUGGUAGAAACACAAGGCCUGGGCUGGUGGCUUGGGGACUGAGGCCCAUCCCAGACUGCCACCUUCCUGAUGCUCUGUUUGGUUUAUUAGGUGCAGAAAACCUCAACCAAGCAACCCAACCCCAGUGAGUAACAGUGAC